AUUGAACGCUGGCGGCAUGCCUAACACAUGCAAGUCGAACGGCAGCACGGCAGUAGCAAUACUGUGGGUGGCGAGUGGCGGACGGGUGAGGAAUACGUCGGAAUCUGCCCAAUCGUGGGGGAUAACUAACCGAAAGGUUAGCUAAUACCGCAUACGACCGAGAGGUGAAAGCGGGGGACCGCAAGGCCUCGCGCGAUUGGAUGAGCCGACGUCGGAUUAGCUUGUUGGUGGGGUAAAGGCCUACCAAGGCAACGAUCCGUAGCUGGUCUGAGAGGAUGAUCAGCCACACUGGAACUGAGACACGGUCCAGACUCCUACGGGAGGCAGCAGUGGGGAAUAUUGGACAAUGGGCGGAAGCCUGAUCCAGCAAUGCCGCGUGUGUGAAGAAGGCCUCGGUUGUAAG
rnacentral:rRNA from 1 species